rnacentral:rRNA from 1 species
AUUGAACUCUGGCGGCAGGCUUAACACAUGCAAGUCGAGCGAGCGGCGGUCGGGUGAGUAAUUUCUGGGAAACUGCCUGUUGGAGUGGGCUAACUACUGGAAACGGUAGCUACUACUGCCUACCAUCAGAUGUGCCCAUCUGUGAUUAGCGAGUAGGUGGGGUAAUGGCUCACCUAGGCGACGAUCCCUAGCUGGUCUGAGAGGAUGACCAGCCACACUGUAAAGGGGACACGGUCCAGAGUCCUACGGGAGGCAUCAGUGGGGAAUAUUGGAGAAUGGGCGCAAGCCUUAUGAAGCCAUGACGCGUGGGUGAAGAAGGCCUUCGAGUGGUAAAGCACAUCCAGCGAGGAGGCGUGAAUCGCAGAAGAAGCACCGGCUAACUCCGUGCCAGCAGCCGCGGUAAUUC